AUACGUAGGUGACAAGCGUUAUCCGGAUUUACUGGGCGUAAAGGGCGUGUAGGCGGUCUUGCAAGUCAGAAGUGAAAUUCCUGAGCUCAACUCGGGCGCUGCUUCUGAAACUGCAGGACUUGAGUGCUGGAGGGGAUAGCGGAAUUCCUAGUGGAGCGGUAAAAUGCGCAGAUAUUAGGAAGAACACCGGUGGCGAAGGCGGCUAUCUGGACAGUAACUGACGCUGAGGCUCGAAAGCGUGGGGAGCAAACAGGAUUAGAUCCCCUGGUAGUCCACGCCGUAAACGAUGAAUACUAGGUGUAGGGGGUAUCGACUCCCUCUGUGCCGCAGUUAACACAAUAAGUAUUCCGCCUGGGGAGUACGGCUGCAAGGUUGAAACUCAAAUGAAUUGGCGGGU
rnacentral:rRNA from 1 species